rnacentral:sRNA from 1 species
CUGGGGCGCAGUGGCGCAUGCCUGUAGUCCAGCUACUCCGGAGGCUGAGGCCGGAGGAUCGCUUGUGCCCAGGAAUUCUGGGCUGUGGUGGCUGUGCUGAUUGGAUGUCUGUACUAAGUUUGGCAUCAAGAUGGUGACCUCGGCCGGGCGUGGUGGCUCACGCCCUGUAAUCCCAGCAUUUUGAGAUGCCGAGGCAAGCAGAUCACUUGAGGUCAGGAGCUCCAGACCAGCCUGGCCAAUAUGGUGAAACCUCAUCUUU